CUGUUUUUGAAGGAAAUGCCCUGUAUUGUCACAUUCAGAUCCCAGGUCCUGUAAAUUCUUUCCCACUGGGGAAAGAAUUUGUCCUACAGGAAGGCUGAGGAAAGGCUCUGCUGAGUCUAUCUUCGCUUUGUUUUUUGCAAGAAAAGUUUUCCUUUUGUGAAAACUUAUCAUACAGAUUGGGCCAUUCUUGUCACACCCAACUAAAACACAGUCAAGAAUCCAGUGGGGAUAGCACCCAGAGCACAAUACAUUGCUCCAAAAAUGUAAUUAUCUGUAGGCCUAGCAGCUGAAACUGCCUGCAGUAGCCUGAAACCAGUUUUAUCUAAGACUCCUGAAAUGACCUGCUGCAACUCUCAGACUAGCUUUGCCCAUGGCUGUCACUUCCCAAUCAGAGCUUGCCAGCUACUCAGAACCUUACUAGUGCUGGUGAAAUUUCUCAAAGAGCAAUGCAUAACAUUUCUUCUUUCUAUAAAACCUCUGACCUUCUAUUUGUUCUUCAGAGAGAGCACUUUUGAUUCACGCUGGAAACUCUCUCCAUCAGUUUGGUUUGCAAACU
rnacentral:lncRNA from 10 species